AAUCUUCUUCACAAGUUAUGACGGGUAGCGGGUUUGAGAGGAUGAUCCGCCACACUGGUACUGAGACACGGACCAGACUCCUACGGGAGGCAGCAGUGAGGAAUAUUGCACAAUGGGGGAAACCCUGAUGCAGCAACGCCGCGUGGAGGAUGACGCAUUUCGGUGUGUAAACUCCUUUUAUAUGUCAAGAAAAUGACGGUAGCAUAUGAAUAAGCACCGGCUAACUCCGUGCCAGCAGCCGCGGUAAUACGGAGGGUGCAAGCGUUAUUCGGAAUCACUGGGCGUAAAGGACGCGUAGGCGGGAUGCCAAGUCUGAUGUGAAAUCCUAUGGCUUAACCAUAGAACUGCAUUGGAAACUGGUAACCUAGAGUAUGGGAGGGGGAGAUGGAAUUAGUGGUGUAGGGGUAAAAUCCGUAGAUAUCACUAGGAAUACCGAAAGCGAAGGCGAUCUCCUGGAACAAUACUGACGCUAAGGCGUGAAAGCGUGGGGAGCAAACGGGAUUAGAUACCCCGGUAGUCCACGCCCUAAACGAUGAACACUAGUCGUCGGAAUGCUAGUCAUUUCGGUGAUGCACUUAACAGAUUAAGUGUUCCGCCUGGGGAGUACGGUCGCAAGAUUAAAACUCAAAGGAAUAGACGGGGACCCGCACAAGUGGUGGAGCAUGUGGUUUAAUUCGGAAAUACGCGAAGAACCUUACCUAGCCUUGACAUUGAAGAAAUACCCUAGAGAUAGAGUAGUGCCCUUCGGGGAAUCUGAAAACAGGUGCUGCACGGCUGUCGUCAGCUCGUGUCGUGAGAUGUUGGGUUAAGUCCCGCAACGAGCGCAACCCUCGUCCUUAGUUGCCAGCAGUUUGGCUGGGCACUCUAAGGAGACUGCCUUCGCAAGGAGGAGGAAGGUGAGGACGACGUCAAGUCAUCAUGGCCCUUAUGGCUAGGGCUACACACGUGCUACAAUGGGGCGUACAGAGAGUUGCGAUACCGCGAGGUGGAGCCAAUCUCAUAAAGCGUCUCUCAGUUCGGAUUGGAGUCUGCAACUCGACUCCAUGAAGCUGGAAUCACUAGUAAUCGUAGAUCAGCAAUGCUACGGUGAAUACGUUCCCGGGUCUUGUACUCACCGCCCGUCACACCAUGGGAGUUGAUUUCACCCGAAAUUGGGAAGCUAACCUUCGGGGGGCUACCACUUACGGUGGAAUUAGCGACUGGGGUGAAGUCGUAACAAGGUAACCGUAGGAGAACCUGCGGUUG
rnacentral:rRNA from 1 species